rnacentral:rRNA from 1 species
AUACGGAGGAUCCAAGCGUUAUCCGGAAUUACUGGGCGUAAAGAGAUGCGUAGGUGGUUUUUUAAGCAAAAUGUGAAAUCACGGGGCUCAACCUCGUGGCUGUAUUUUGAACUGAUCAACUUGAGAAUGGUAGAGGUAACUGGAAUUCCUAGUGUAGGAGUGAUAUCCGUAGAUAUUAGGAGGAACACCAAUGGCGAAGGCAGGUUACUGGGCCAUUUCUGACACUGAGGCUCGAAAGCGUGGGGAGCAAACCGGAUUAGAAACCCGAGUAGUCC